rnacentral:rRNA from 1 species
AGGAUGAACGCUGGCGGCGUGCUUAAUACAUGCAAGUCGAACGGACCCCGCAAGGGGUUAGUGGCGACCGGGUGCGUAACACGUAGUUGACCUGCCCCUCAGCGGGGGACAACAGUUCGAAAGGACUGCUAAUACCGCAUAAUUUUCGGUGUUUUAGAAAGACCGAAAUAAACUUACGGGGCUGAGGGAGGGAACUGCGGCCCAUCAGGUAGUUGGUGAGGUAACGGCUCACCAAGCCGACGACGGGUAGGGGGCCUGAGAGGGUGGUCCCCCACACUGGAACUGACAAACGGUCCAGACUCCUACGGGAGGCAGCAGUAAGGGAUAUUGCGCAAUGGGCGAAAGCCUGACGCAGCAACGCCGCGUGGAGGAGAAGGCCUUCGGGUCGUAAACUCCUUUGUGAGUGACGAGGAAGGACGGUAGCUCAACGAAUAAGUCACGGCUAACUACGCGCCAGCAGCCGC